rnacentral:misc_RNA from 1 species
GGCAAAGUUCAUCAAGAUUCAAGUGUUUCACAGUGUCUUUCAAAAGAUAUACACGUGUAUUAGCAAUUUCCUUUUAUGUGUACUAAGAGUUUUGCAUCCGAUCUUGGACACUCGAUAAAACUGAAACGAUACAGAGAAGAUUGACAUGGCCCAUGCACAAAUCAAGAUAUGAUAAAAGAGUAUUGCCUUGGGUUUUAACCUCAGCUAUUCGUGCUCCAUGCUCAUCUAAGUUUCCUGAUUUCAAUUUACUUUCUGCAAAGUGGAAACAAGAUUUGAGGCUCCAAAAGCUGCAGAGCCACCAACAACAGAAAGUAGAGCAACCACAACUUGCAAACCGAUUUGCCAAGGGUAAUCUUCCGGCACCAGAUACACACAAACAGGACCCACAGCCAACAAUCCCAAACUCAAACUGAAGAGUGCUGAUGGAGUUGAAGGGUCAGUAGCUGCUGAAAGAAUCCCCAAUUCUUCGGCUUUUGAAAGAAGACCAAGUCUUUCAAUUGUCGAUAAAGAGAGUCCAGAUUUCUCAGCAGCUGAUAGUAAACCAGCUUUCUCUGCUUUAGUUAACAGUCGCAGUUGCUCCACUCUUGUCAAUAACUUCACUGGUGGUGUAGACGAAGAAUUGCCCGGCCUAGGUUUCUCCCCUACUGGAAAUACAGUUGUUGUCUUUUUACUAGUGGAUGGAGUUGGUUUUUGCGUAGCCAUGGAUCGGAUGAGAAGUGGUGCGUUUGAAGCAGAGAAACGUGAAAUCGCAACGGCGCCGUCCAUCAUCAUCAUCUUCUUCUUUUU